rnacentral:rRNA from 1 species
CAGCUCCAGUGGCGUAUGCCAAUGUUGCUGCGGUUAAAAGGCUCGCAGUUGAAUGUCAGUUAUAAUACGCGAUGAGAUGCCGGGACGUUGUUCGUGUGUUUGACCUCGUGUCUCGCUCGUUCCGUCCCCUGAGCGCAUUUCUCGCAAUCUAACAAUAAUUACAGAGCCCGUCGCGGAUGUGCACAAGUGUCAUUUGCUAACGCUUUUGAUACGUAUGUUCGUGGUAGCUCUGUAGUUGACACCUUGAGUAAAUCAGAGUGCUUAACGCAGUCGUUUAAAUACCGGCUUCUCGUUUGCGGUUCGCCCGUGAGCAAGUUUGCCAGUGGCGGAUUUAUCCGUUUAGACAUUGUCUUUGCUUUGCAUGGUACGUCGAAAGACGCCGUGUAAGUUGGUCGCGCUUACGGUUAGACACACGUUUUUGUGUGCGCGUGCACCAACGAGCACGGAAUGAUAUGAAAGGGAUGGUUCGAAGGCAUUGGUAUUGCCGGGCGAGAGGUGAAAUUCUAUGACCCCCGCAAGACUCCCCGAAGCGAAAGCGUCUGCCUAGGACGUCUUCAUUAAUCAUGAACGAAAGUUGAAGGAUCGAAGGCGAUCAGAUACCGCCCUAGUUUUAACCGUAAACUAUACCAACCAUCAAUCCGUCGGAGCGUUCCCUUACUCCCGUUGAUCGGCUAUGCUGUGAUACGUGGACAAGUGUAAGCUCGAUGGGCAGCUCCUCCACCUACGGAAAACCAGAGUGUUUCGGUUCCGGGGGGAGUCUGGUUGCAAAGCUGAAACUUAAAGGAAUUGACGGAAAGGCACCACCAGGCGUGGAGCUUGCGGCUCAAUUUGACUCAACACGGGAAAUCUCACCAGACCCAAACAUCUUUAAUGACUGACAGACUGAAAGCUCUUUCUUGAUAAAGUGGAUGGUGGUGCAUGGCCGUUCUUAGUUGGUGGAGUGAUCUGUCUGGUUAAUUCCGAUAACGAACGAGACUCUCCCCUGCUAACGAACCUUGUGUUCUUGUAGACAGUGUGAUUCGAAUCACGAAUUCUGCUCGCGAGAGCUUAUUCUGACGAUGUCCACUGAUCCUUGCUGCGUCGUGAGUGGUGCUUUGAAUUGGUGCUCGAGCGUGAGUUGAUGCGAGAUUAACGUCUCUGCGUCGCUUGUGUUCGUUGUUGCCGUUCGAGUCCCUUUCGGCUGUGGCUUGRAGUAUUUUUCUUCUUAGAGGGAUUGUCGGCUAGCAAGUC